rnacentral:lncRNA from 1 species
GGCCAUACCCACAGCAUAUGGAGGGUCUCAGGCUAGGGGUCAAAUCGCAGCUGUAGCCACUGACCUAGGCCACAGCUACAGUAAUGUGGGAUCCAAGCUGCAUCCGCAACCUACACCACAGCUCAUGGCAAUGCAGGAUUCUUAACCCACUGAGCGAGGCCGGCAAUUGUAGCUCUGAUUGAACGCCUAGCCUGGGAACUUCCAUACAAAAGACAAAAAAAGAAAGAAAGAAAGAAAAGAAAUAGAAGAUGACAUAGUUUCCCUGCUAGAGCUAAAAAGUGUGUGCUAAGGCAAAAGAGAAAUUAUUUUCUGUUUGAAAGGGUAGAUUCAACUGAUGAAAAUUUUUCAAGUCCACUAUCAGAAAAAUUAUACAUUCCCAGGAUUUAGAUUUCUUGUAGGUUGUAGGGAAUGUAGAUUACAAAACAUAGGUCUUGCUUCAGAAAGCUGGUAAUGGUGGUAUAAAUGAAUAUAAGGAAGAAUUCCAGCAGGAAAGGUGGAAACUAAUGAAGAACAGAAACAAGGGCCAUGGUCCAAUGACAUCAUUGCAACCAUAACCAUCUCUUUAAAUGGAUCGUUUUGCCACUUCAGUGACCCCCCCCCAACCUCCCUCCAGCUUAAAACCUUUCAAAGCCUCUAUAUAUACUACAACCUUCUAGAAGGACUACACUGUUUCUUAUACUCUGCUCCUCUAAAAAAAACAUAUCCUAUAUGCAACUAGCAGGUUAACAUUCCUGAAGUACAACUCUUCUCUUGCACAUAAAGAAUAAUGUUAACCACUGGGAAAUAAGACACGAUAAAAACACAUUAGAUAAUAAAGAAUAAAAGCCCAGGUCUGUAACACUUAAGUCAUUAUUUCAUUUAAUUUUCAUAACCUCAUUUUACAGAGAAGUGACUGACAUACGAAAACACACAAUAUGAGAAAAGAACUAGGACUUAAUCUAGCUCCUCCAGCGGGAGUGUGUUUUUUCUGUACAAUAUGUUGAGGGAAAGAGGUGGUACUGGGGCUAACAUUUGUUUAAUAAUAUGCCAAGAACCAUACUAGAUACUUACCAGUAUUUUAUUUCAUCCUGAUCUAUCUCAUAAGACUGACUAGUUGCCUCCUAUCACAGGUGAGGAGAUUGAGGCUCAGAUUAAUGUACUAAUCUGUUCAAUGUAAUUUAUCAGAGACAGUAUCUCGGAGUUCCCAUCAUGGCUGCAGCAGAAACGAAUCUGACCAGGAACCAUGACGUUGGGGGUUCAAUCCCUGGCCUCGCUCAGUGGGUUAAGGGUCUGGCGUUGUCCUGAGCUGUGGUGCAGGUAACAGACACAGCCCAGAUCUGGCAUUGCUGUGGUGUAGGACAGCAGCUACAGCUCAGAUUGGACCCCUAGCCUGGGAAUGUCCAUAUGCCGCAGGUGCAACCCUGAAAAGACGAAAAAAAAAAAAGGAGAGAGAGACAGUAUCUCAUACAUCCAACUCUAAAGCCCACACUCAUAUUGCUAUGCCAAUCUACCUCCC